CUCCCUUCUUAAUGCGAGGUCUGCCUACCCCAGUCACACUUGCACCCUGCUGAACAAAGGGGAUACCAACUCUUUUCUACCUGCAUCCCGAAUAUGGCAUCUGCUCAUCCUGCUGCCUUACCAUGACACCUAUGUCCUGCUUAGGAUUUUCAACUUGUAUUCAAUUUCCUGCCCUGUCUGUUUCACACUUUCUAUUAUUUGUUUCAGUCUUUUCUUACAGAGCCUGGUCCUGUGCUUAUAGACUCCAUUGUACCCUAUGCUACAUAUUUCUAUUUCUGCCAAAAAAAUAAAUAAAAUCUACUUUAUAAUUUCUGUCACUUCUGUAAACCUGUAACCUCUUCACAUUGCUGUAGCUUCAUGCUCUUCCUGUGUUACCCCUCGCUUGACGAAAAGGCAGUAUUGGCAAUAAAGGCCUACUUAAGAAAAUGUGUUGGGAUCCAAACUUAACCAGGAAUCUGAGGCUGAUGGAUCGUCUGGAGGAUGAAAUGUGUGGCACUGAGUGUAUUUGACAAGCUGAGUCCGACACUCAGUGAGACAGAGUGUCAGUUUGUCAAAUACCCCAAGUGAGGCACAGUCUCUCUGCUGGAACCACUCAACUGCAUGAAUGUAAUACUCGUCUCCAUCCAUAUCUCCAUAUCUUUUAUCAAUGACAGAUGAAUAUGCUCAGUAUACAGUAGAUCAUGUACCAUGCACAGAUAAUGUUGUUAGCUUUGCUUUUUACAUAAGCCAUUUACAAAGACUAUUGUUGUGUAUGAAAUACCCACAUUCAAGUGCAAAUGGUAAUGUAAACCUUGCAAAUGAAUGGAAAAUUGCUCAGAAUGGAAAAUUGCUUCUAAGUACUUUUGCAAUUUACGAUAUUUUUUCUUCUUUUCAAUUGUGUUUAUAAGUAUUUUCAAAUAAACAGCACGAGCAAAAAUAACAACAAAAAUUGACAUUAUAUCCAGUCAGUUACGAUAUUUUUUUAAAAUGUCAAAAUAUUAGUAAAAAUAUGUGCUGCUCAUAUAAUGAAUAUUUUACGCACAGCGCCACCUGCUUGUCGGUUUUACAACUGUAAACCAGUAGGUAGAAUGGCAGAAAAAAGAAAUAAGACUGUUCUGAUGUUGCUCUCUUUAGGAACAAGAUCAUAAACCUCAGAUGACUUUUCCCUAAACAGAACAGCAUCAGAAUAGUCCUCUUUACCAUACCACGUCACUUUUUUUCUUUCUUUCUACACUUUUUUAGGGACCCUUCUCUUUUUCACCCUCCGUCUCUCUUCUGUUCUCUCUUUCUCACACCCAUAUUAUUUUGUGUUUACUUCUCAUCUCUUUAUUGUGCUCUUUACCUUCCUUAGGAAUGGAUGUGAAAAAUCCUGAUUUCAAUCUAAUUAUGAAUCUAUGGCAUUAUUUAUUUAUAUUAUUUAUAUCUAUUAGUGCAAAUAAGCACUUUGACCCACUGGAAGAAAGGGCCACAAUCUUUUCCCAUAACUGUAUAUAGCAGCACAUAUUUACCCCAAAAUAAUUAAAACUGUUAUUAAUGGUAAAGAUGGACCCCUUUAAAGCAGGAUUUGUCACUGCCAGUAGGAGAGAGGUAUCUACCCUGCAAAGAAGCUGUAUUUACUACCAGAUGUUGAAAUAAAUGGAAUUUUAAUUAUU